GURGACAUGAGAAGCCCGAAAGGUCGAAAGGGGAAAUUCAUUCGCGGCUCGGCUGUCGGCGUGGAGCGUCCGAGUGUGACGGAUGACGCGCCGCGUUUACGCGUGCGUCGUCGUCCGCGCCUUUCGUUCUUCGAACCGGCGUCGAACGCGUGCACUUUUCCUCUAGUAGGACGUCGCGAUCCGUUGGGUGUCGGUCUAAGGCUCGCGGUGGAGUCCGCGCGGUCGUCACAUGACGUAUCGCGCGAACCCGUGAUGUUAUCCCGGCCGAUUCGCUCGACGGUAUAAACAUGGCGCGGGGCCGCUACACAUUUACAGUUAGCGUCCGGCCCGCGGCAAGCACGGUCGGUUUUCAAUAUAGUGACGGCGAUCGGACCCGGUGCCGAUCCUGUCCCCGACCGACUGUUGGCUGCGGUGAUCUCGGACAGACCUCGUUAACGAAACGCCGAUCUGCGACGCUAUAGCUUUGGGUACUUUCAGGACCCGUCUUGAAACACGGACCAAGGAGUCUAGCAUGUGCGCGAGUCAUUGGGACAUAACUAAACCUAAAGGCGCAAUGAAAGUGAAGGUUCGUCUCGCGCGAACCGAGGGAGGAUGAGCGGUAUUAGCCCUCAAAGUGGCCGCUCCGCACUCCCGGGGCGUCUCGUUCUCAUUGCGAGAAGAGGCGCACCAAGAGCGUACACGCUGGGACCCGAAAGAUGGUGAACU
rnacentral:rRNA from 1 species